UAAGGAAUAUUGGACAAUGGAGGCAACUCUGAUCCAGCCAUGCCGCGUGAAGGAAUAAGGCCCUAUGGGUUGUAAACUUCUUUUAGACGGGACAAAACCCCUUUACGUGUAAAGGGUUGAUGGUACUGUCAGAAUAAGCAUCGGCUAACUUCGUGCCAGCAGCCGCGGUAAUACGAAGGAUGCAAGCGUUAUCCGGAAUUAUCGGGUUGAAAGGGUGCGUAGGCGGACUAAUAAGUCAGUGGUUAAAGCCUGCAGCUUAACUGCAGGAUUGCCAUUGAUACUGUUAGUCUUGAGUACAGUUGGGGUAGGCGGAAUGUGUCAUGUAGCGGUGAAAUGCUUAGAUAUGACACAGAACACCGAUUGCGAAGGCAGCUUGCUAAGCUGUAACUGACGCUGAGGCACGAAAGCGUGGGGAGCAAACA
rnacentral:rRNA from 1 species